CCUGCCUGCCAAUGGCGGGCCUGGCGGCCCAAUCCCAGUGGCUUCCCACGCUCUCCCGCGGGCCCCAGCUCCGGCCCCCUCUCUCCCUCCCUUCAGUUUAAUUCCCCUUCCGGACGUUGCUAUCAUGUUGAAGCCUCAGCCGCCAUAAGAGCUCUCCAAGCCCCAGCAGCCGCCCCCCAUGCAGCAGGCCAUGCCUCCUCUGCAGCUCCACCGGGGCCUCCUGCGGCCUCCUCCCCCUGCCUGGGGCCUUCGGCUGCCAGGAGCGGGCUCCGCUGGGAAGCCAAAAGCAUCUUGGUAACGCAGCUGCCUCCGCAGCAGCAGCACCAGGAGAGGCCGGGGGCCGCUGCCACUGGCAGCGCCAGGGGACAAAGCACAGGAAAGGGACCCCCACAGUCACGUGUGUUUGAAGGCGUGUACAACAAUUCCAGAAUGCUGCAUUUCCUUACAGCUGUUGUGGGCUCCACUUGUGAUGUAAAGGUGAAAAAUGACACCAUCUAUGAGGGUAUCUUCAAGAGGCUGAGCUCAAAUUUUGAACUAGCAGUGGAUGUUGUACACCAGAAAGCAUCUGAGCCAGCAGGUGGUCCUUGUCGGGAGGAUAUUGUAGACACCAUGGUGUUUAAGCCAAGUGAUGUCAUGCUUGUUCACUUCUGAAAUGCUGACUUCAGCUACGCUGCUAAAGACAAGUUCACCCAUUCAGCCAUCGCCAUUAACUAGAAGGGAAUGGGGAACACAAAGAGAAGGUGCUUCAGCGCUGGGAGGGGGGUGACAGCAACAGCGACAACUAUGACCUUGAGUCCGACAUGUCCAAUGGAUGGGACCCCAAUGAAAUGUUCAAGUUCAACGAGGAGAACUACGGUGUGAAGACCACCUGUGAUAGCAGUCUUUUUUCUUAUACAGUGCCCUUAGAAAAGGACAGCUCGGAAGAGUUUCAGCAGCGAGACCUGCGUUUGGCGCAGUUGGCAUGAGAGAUUGAAUCAAGCCCUCAGUACCGCCUGUGGAUCGCCAUGGAGAGUGAUGAUGGGCCACUGGAGUGGAGAAGCACAGGGCGGCCCAAUGGCAGUAUUCAGGGCAGGAGAGCCCCAGGUUGGCAUCCAGGAAGAUAAAGUAUAUCAUCCCUCUGCCUCAAUGAGUCCAGGAAGGUCCCCAGGGAGGAGUUUGAUGCAGCAGCUCUCCGUGUGGUCGGCCUGGCCUUAGCUCUUUGCCACCUCGUGGCCCUCACCAUCUGGACAAUAGCAACCCUGGCCCAGGUUCUGAGGCCCGUGGUAUCAAUGGAGGCCCUUCCUGCAUGUCCCCAAAGGCACAGAGGCCUCUGAGAGGUGCCAAGACCCUGUCUUCACCCAAUAAUAGGCCUUCUGGAGAAACUUCUGUUCCUCCUCCUGCAGUGGGCCGGAUAUAUCCCCUGAGUUCUCCCAAGUCUGCUGCCCCUGCCCCAAUCUCAGCUUCCUGUCUUGAGCCUCCCAUUGGCUUGGCAGUGCCAACAUCUUCAGCCUCCAUCCCUGUGACCUCAUCAGUCUCAGAUCCUGGAAUGGGCUCCAUUUCCUCAGUUUCUCCAAAGAUCUCCCUGGCCCCCACAGAUGUAAAAGAACUCUCUACCAAGGAAACUGAGAGAACCCUGGAGCCCCAGUAGCUGGCUCAGAUAGCUGGGAAAGUCCCUGGUCUUCAGAAUGAACAGAAACUAUUCCAACUGGAAGAACUCAGAAAGUUUGGGGCCCAGUUUAAGCUUCAGCCCAAUAGUUCCCCUGAGAACAGCCUGGAUCCUUUUCCUCCCUGGAUCUUAAAGGAGGAGGCCAAAGGAAAGGAGAAGGAGGCUGAUGGUUUGUUGACUUCAGAUCCCAUGGGGUUCCCUCCAAGACAGAGUCCAUAUGGGAUAAGGAAGACAGACCACCCCUGGCACCAGCAGGAGGCACUGAGGGUCCAGAACAGAGCCUCCCCCCCACCUUGCCCAAGCCAAACCAGCAGCCCCCCAGUUGGGCUCAUCAAAGGAGAGGACAAGGAUGAGGGCCCUAUUGCUGAACAAGUAAUCAAUGUUGAACCCCAAUACCAAGGAGUUCAGUCCCACAAAGUCUCUGCUGUUUGUGAAUAAAUCCACCAGUACCCCAACUUCUCCAGGGCCUCGGACUCAUUCAACUCCCUCCAUCCCAGUGCUGACAGCAGGCCAGAGUGGGCUAUACAGCCCCCAGUACAUCUCCUACAUACCUCAGAUCCACAUGAGACCAGCUGUGCAGGCAUCUCAGAUGUAUUCGUAUCCUGGAUUCAAUUCAAUGUCUGGGCAGCAGGGCAAGUACUGGAGAGCAAAAUGCUCCCUGUGCCCAUAGCUCUGGGACCAAUACCAGCCAGCCUCAGCCCCACCUCGGUGGCUGCUGGCCUGCCUCUGGUGGCUGCCACGCCCUAUUCUUCCUACAUCUCCUACAACACUCAGCAGUUCCCAGGCCCACCUGCCAUGAUGCAGCCCAUGACCCACUACGCCUCACAGCCGGUGUCUGCCCCUUUGCUUCAAAGCAAUCCACGCAUGCUGACGUCGGGCAGACAUCCCCAGGUCAUUGUGUCAUCCUCCACCCUUCAGUACCCUUCUGCGGAGCAGCCCACCCCUCAAGCCCUUUAUGUCACUGUUCAUCAGGCCUACCCACACUAUGCCACACAGCUUCAUGCCCACCAGCUGCAGCCAGCUACCAUGCCUACCUGGAACCAGACUGCAGCCCCCAGUCCUGUCCAGCAUCAGGCAGGAGUGGCUCCACACCUGGGCAGUGGACACCCAACAGUAGAAUCUGUACCACCCAGGGGCCCUGGCCGGCAUGCUGCCCUCUCUGCCUCUGGGACCUUCUGCCCGGUCCCCUCAGAGCAGCUUCCCCCAGCCAGCCACUGUGUAUGCCAUCCACCACCAGCAUCUGCCCCACGGCUUCACCAACAUGGCCCAUGUUCCCCAGGCUCAUGUCCAAACUGGAAUCACUGCAGCCCUGCCCCCUCACCCUGGGGCUCCCCAUCCACCCCAGGUGAUGCUGCUGCACCCACCCCAGAGUCAUGGGAGGUCACCCCCAAAGUGCAGUGCCCCAGAGUGGGGUGCCUGCAUUCUCAGCUUCCACACCCUCACCCUACCCCUACAUCAGACACCCCCAAGCUCUCACUGACCCCGACUCCUGACUUACCAGAGUUCAAUCUUACCCCUCCCAGCAGCUCCCCUUCCACCCCCUGGGGAACUGAAGACUUUCCUGGCCGAGACCCGAGACCUCCAUGAGUGGAGGGAAGAGUGAUCUAUGCCUCUUCCCCCAGCAGUUCAGACCACUCCCAGUUCCCCAUCCCCCCUUUCCCCAGGGGAGCUGGGGAAUUCCUGCCAAGCACCUUGAAUGGGAGGGGCCUCACAGAGGGCAGCGCCAGGGUCCAGCAGGGGUGGGGGGUUCCUGCUCUAUCCCUGCCUGUCCCCACCCAGUAUUGCCCUCGCAUCCUCUCAUCUAUUCCCCUGCUGGACACAGAAGAUCUUUUAUUUUCUGUUGUUUGUAACCUCAGACUUAGGUCCCCUGUUCUUUAUUUUCCAUUAACUUGAGUGGCCUGUGUGAGAGACAGAUGGAUGCCCCAGGAGGAUGG